UACGUAGGGGGCUAGCGUUGUCCGGAAUCAUUGGGCGUAAAGCGCGUGUAGGCGGUUCGGUAAGUCCGCUGUGAAAGUCGGGGGCUCAACCCCCGGAUGCCGGUGGAUACUGUCGGGCUUGAGUACGGAAGAGGCGAGUGGAAUUCCUGGUGUAGCGGUGAAAUGCGCAGAUAUCAGGAGGAACACCAAUUGCGAAGGCAGCUCGCUGGGACGUUACUGACGCUGAGACGCGAAAGCGUGGGGAGCAAACAGG
rnacentral:rRNA from 1 species